CUAAAGGAGAUGAAGUAUAAAACACAGUAGCACAGGAGAUAGCAAUCAAGCAAGGUGAAAGUAAAGCAGAGCUGGAGGAGAGAGUAGAGUCCUGCCCUUUAGGAGAGAGCAAGGGACAGGUAUGUUAGAUAGAGCUUACUCUGGGAGGCCAUACGCUUUCCCAAAGAGAUGGAUUUUAAGGCACUUCUUAAAUGAUUGAUGACUAGGGGAGAGUCUGAUGGCAGUCUAUUCCAAAGGAACGGAGCCGCCAGUGAGAAGUCCUGCAAACGUGAGUUGCAAGUAGUCUUGCAAACUUACGGGUGCAAGUAGUGGACAGGAGAAGGUCAUGGGCAGAGCGGAGAGACAGAGAAGGGGCAUACCUAUGGAUCAGUGAAGAUACA